AGGGCACCACCAGGGGUGGAGCCUGCGGCUUAAUUUGACUCAACACGGGGAAACUCACCCGGCCCGGACACCGGAAGGAUUGACAGAUUGAGAGCUCUUUCUUGAUUCGGUGGGUGGUGGUGCAUGGCCGUUCUUAGUUGGUGGAGUGAUUUGUCUGGUUAAUUCCGAUAACGAACGAGACUCUGGCCUACUAAAUAGUCGUCGGAUCGCUUCAGUCCGAUUGACUUCCUAGAGGGACAAACGGUGUUUAGCCGUAUGAAAUAGAGCAAUAACAGGUCUGUGAUGCCCUUAGAUGUCCGGGGCUGCACGCGCGCUACACUGAAGGAAUCAGCGUGUGGGUUUGCCUGGCUCGAAAGAGCUGGGUAAUCCGGUGAAAAUCCUUCGUGAUUGGGAUCGGGACUUGCAAUUAUUUCCCUUGAACGAGGAAUCCCUAGUAAGUACGGGUCAUCAGCUCGUGCUGAUUACGUCCCUGCCCUUUGUACACACCGCCCGUCGCUGCCCGGAACUGAGCCAUUUCGA
rnacentral:rRNA from 1 species